ACAAAACGUAAACAAAUGUAAAUAUUUACAAAUAUUGACAGAAAAUUUGGUUUUUAUUUGUCAGCUAUUGAUGACCUAGCCUAGUUCUUUCAUUAUGAAAUUGCAUCAAAAAGGUGAAUGUACCCGUUGCAUGCUUCUGGAAGCAUAUAUCUGGAAUGUACCUUAUUUAUUUUUGUUUUCCACCAUCUACCAUCCAAUAACAUUUUAAAAGAACACCACAACGCCAGGCGCACAACCGAAACCUACUAUCAUAACUACAGAUUUUUGCCAGCUGCUGAAAAAAAAGAAUCAGAUUUCCACCGACGGUUCGCAUCUUAUCGACUAAAAAAUUAAAAACAAUGAAAUAUAAGAAAUUAAAGAGCAUUUAUUUUUCAUACUAUAGCUUUGGGGCCUUUCGUUUUCAAAUGUUUCCCGUCGUCAUUGUUUGUGUUAUAGUAGAUAAUGUUUUUAUUUUCACUGCUAAAAAAAUAAUUCAGAGUUGUACCGAAAAAACAUCGCCUAACUAUCGCAUAAAAGAGUCUGUCAAAUUUGGUUUGGGAACAAAAUGGGAUAUUUUCGAAGCGGCAAAAACCUAUAAACCGAUCGUUCAACGGAUGGUGGGUGGUGGAAUAAUCUGCCUGGGACGAAGCUAUUAAUAUUUAAAAGUACCUUGGUACAUACUGUUUAAAAGUAUUUAGGUAUAUCUCCAACAUUGCACCGAGCUACAUAUAUAAUCAAAUAUUUAGCUUCGUAUACGUCCAUAAGAAAUACGCGUUCUGGAAACAAAUAUAUGAAAUUAGAAUACAUCUGCAUUUGCGGGAAUUAAGACUUCAAUUGCAGUUUUACAGUAUUUUUAUUCAGUAAAUGAUACCUGUUUGAGUGAUUUCUGAACAUGCCCUUCAGUUCCGAAAAAAGUUCCCAUGAGACACUGAGAGACACUAAUUACUGGGAUUUGUUUAGAUAAGUCAGCAUUAGUACUUAGCAAUAGAGCAGUAUUUAAAAAACCAAGAAGCUCAAAAAAUUCCAAAAGUCAAAUACCAAAAAAGUCAAAAAAUACCAAAAAGGUCAAAGAAUACCUAAAGGUCAAAAUACCAAAAGCUCAAAAAUACCAAAAAGGUCAAAAAUACCAAAAAGGUCAAAAAAUACCUAAAAAGUUAAAAAUACAAAAAAAUGAAAAAUAACCAAAAAUACCAAAAAGGUCAAAAAAUAUAAAAAAUCGAAAAUAUUAAAAAGGUCAAAAAUGCCAAAAAAGUUCCCAAAAUAUCAAAAAGGUCAAAAAUGUCCAAAAAUAUCAAAAAGGUCAAAAAUGCCAAAAAGGUCCAAAAAUACCAAAAACGUUCAAAAUGCCAAAAAAAAAGAUAACCAAAAAUUCCAAAAACCAACAAAAAUUAAAGGGAAUCUGGAAAUAUACAAGAGUUUAAUUUAAUAAAAUGUUUUUUAUUUAUACCCAUCCACCAUGGAUGGUAAUCCAAUAACAUUUUAAAAGAACACCACAACGCCAGGCGCACAACCGAAACCUACUAUCAUAACUACAGAUUUUGGCCAGCUGCUGAAAAAAAAGAAUCAGAUUUCCACCGACGGUUCGCAUCUUAUCGACUAAAAAAUUAAAAACAAUGAAAUAUAAGAAAUUAAAGAGCAUUUAUUUUUCAUACUAUAGCUUUGGGGCCUUUCGUUUUCAAAUGUUUCCCGUCGUCAUUGUUUGUGUUAUAGUAGAUAAUGUGUUAAUUUUCACUGUUAAAAAAAUAAUUCAGAGUUGUACCGAAAAAACAUCGCCUAACUAUCGCAUAAAAGAGUCUGUCAAAUUUGGUUUGGGAACAAAAUGGGAUAUUUUCGAAGCGGCAAAAACCUAUAAACCGAUCGUUCAACGGAUGGUGGGUGGUGGAAUAAUCUGCCUGGGACGAAGCUAUUAAUAUUUAAAAGUACCUUGGUACAUACUGUUUAAAAGUAUUUAGGUAUAUCUCCAACUUUGCACCGAUCUACAUAUAUAAUCAAAUAUGUUCGAAUGGCGGACUUAUAUCGACAGAAGGAGUUUCUGCUAUAGCAACCAAAUUCCGCUUUAGCAUCGUAUACGUCCAUAAGAAAUACGCGUUCUGGAAACAAAUAUAUGAAAUUAGAAUACCUCUGCAUUUGCGGAAAAAUGCACCAGGUCCCUUUCUCUUUUGGAGAGACGCAAAACAAAAGGACUGGCCAAAGGCAAGCAGAUUAUAAGACAGAGAAAGAGAGGAAUCUCCGAAAAUGUGCCUGAGGCAAGCAGAUUAUAAGACCCAGAAAGAGAGGAAUCUCCGAAGAUCUGGCUCUCCUUGUUGCACUACCGCUUUUUUCACAUUCUUCUAAGCUUUUACCAUCUGGCAUGCAGUGAUGCCAAUAUUUGUUCGUAAAAAAAAGACAGACUGAAAAAAUAGCAUGAAAAUAUAAAAAAAAAAAUGAAAGGUUUUUAAAGUAAUUUUAUUUUUUAUUAUGAAGAUAAUAGUUUUAAGGCAUCUUCGAUUAUUUUUCCUUCGUCACUAUUGCUGUCCUCAAAGUAGCCAUGAAUCCAAUUAUUUUAUUUUUUAUUAUGAAGAUAAUAGUUUUAAGGCAUCUUCGAUUAUUUUUCCUUCGUCAUUAUUGCUGUCCUCAAAGUAGCCAUGGAUCCAAUUAAUUGGCGAUACUGAUCAGGCAAGUUAUAAUUAUGAAAUCUGAAGAAAGAAUACAUGUACUUGUACAUCUACUUAAUGUAUUAUCAAUUUAUAUAUGGUCACUUUUACAGUUAAUACUGCAUUUGCAAUAUGCCUUUAUAAUCGGGCUGCAGUACCCAGCAAUCCUUUUGCUUAAACAUUUCUUUUGGCAUUUUAAUUUUAUAAUACAAAUUGCGUGUUCAGUACCGAAACAGAUAGUGUAAGUAAACCGUAAAUAGAGUUGUUUUUCGAUGCAUUUUUUUCACCAAACUGUCGAUAUAGGUAUCGCCGCCGCGGGAAGUGGCCACCUCUUUUAUAUUUUACAGCUGAUAAUAAAUUUAAAUUGGAAAGCAAAAGCAACAAUUUUAGAAAAAAUAGAAUUAAUAUUAAAUUAAAAAAAGGCAGAUUUCCGGAACAAAAAUCUUAAAAAAGGACAGAUUUCAGGUAUGAGUAUGAUUUUAAUUUUUUUCCGGAUAAAGCGUUAAAAACGGGGAAGAUCUGUCCGGAAAAAGGACAAAUUGGCAUCACUGCUGACAUGUAACGUUUUACCUCUGUUUUACGCUUUACCAUUAUUGCCGACCGCUGUAAUAAAGGUUUAAAAACAUUGUAGUUUUUAAAUAUCGAUGUUAUUCAAUCUCAAAAUUAAUCUUUUAAAUUAAACAUAAACAUCGAACAAAUUUAAAACAAAAUAACAAAUAUUUAUUAAAGAUUCAUAGAAAGUCUUAAAGUUCAAAGCAAGUUCAGUGUUUCAAUUGAUAAAAAGCCACUUACAAAUUA